AUUUCCAUAGUUGAAAACAACAGUAUUUUUUCAAGAUACAAGUUUGAGUGAAACCCUCAAUAGAAAUA
rnacentral:tRNA from 1 species